UACGGGGGGAGCAAGCGUUGUUCGGAAUCACUGGGCGUAAAGGGAGCGUAGGCGGGUUUCUAAGUAAGGUGUUUAAUCCCGGGGCCCAACCCCGGACAGGCACUUUAAACUGGAAAUCUUGAAUAGGGGAGAGGUCAGUGGAAUUGGAGGUGUAGCGGUGGAAUGCGUAGAGAUCUCCAAGAACACAAGUUGCGAAGGCGGCUGACUGGACCCAUAUUGACGCUGAGGCUCGAAAGCAUGGGGAGCAAACAGG
rnacentral:rRNA from 1 species